rnacentral:rRNA from 1 species
AAAUUGAAGAGUUUGAUCAUGGCUCAGAUUGAACGCUGGCGGCAGGCCUAACACAUGCAAGUCGAACGGUAACAGGAAGCAGCUUGCUGCUUUGCUGACGAGUGGCGGACGGGUGAGUAAUGUCUGGGAAACUGCCUGAUGGAGGGGGAUAACUACUGGAAACGGUGGCUAAUACCGCAUAACGUCGCAAGACCAAAGAGGGGGACCUUCGGGCCUCUUGCCAUCAGAUGUGCCCAGAUGGGAUUAGCUUGUUGGUGAGGUAACGGCUCACCAAGGCGACGAUCCCUAGCUGGUCUGAGAGGAUGACCAGCCACACUGGAACUGAGACACGGUCCAGACUCCUACGGGAGGCAGCAGUGGGGAAUAUUGCACAAUGGGCGCAAGCCUGAUGCAGCCAUGCCGCGUGUAUGAAGAAGGCCUUCGGGUUGUAAAGUACUUUCAGCGGGAAGGAAGGUGUUGUGGUUAAUAACCGCAGCAAUUGACGUUACCCGCAGAAGAAGCACCGGCUAACUCCGUGCCAGCAGCCGCGGUAAUACGGAGGGUGCAAGCGUUAAUCGGAAUUACUGGGCGUAAAGCGCACGCAGGCGGUCUGUCAAGUCGGAUGUGAAAUCCCCGGGCUCAACCUGGGAACUGCAUUCGAAACUGGCAGGCUUGAGUCUUGUAGAGGGGGGUAGAAUUCAGGUGUAGCGGUGAAAUGCGUAGAGAUCUGGAGGAAUACCGGUGGCGAAGGCGGCCCCCCUGGACAAAGACUGACGCUCAGGUGCGAAAGCGUGGGGAGCAAACAGGAUUAGAUACCCCGGUAGUCCACGCCGUAAACGAUGUCUACUUGGAGGUUGUGCCCUUGAGGCGUGGCUUCCGGAGCUAACGCGUUAAGUAGACCGCCCGGGAGUACGGCCGCAAGGUUAAAACUCAAAUGAAUUGACGGGGGGCCCGCACAAGCGGUGGAGCAUGUGGUUUAAUUCGAUGCAACGCGAAGAACCUUACACGGUCUUGACAUCCACAGAACUUUCCAGAGAUGGAUUGGUGCCUUCGGGAACUGUGAGACAGGUGCUGCAUGGCUGUCGUCAGCUCGUGUUGUGAAAUGUUGGGUUAAGUCCCGCAACGAGCGCAACCCUUAUCCUUUGUUGCCAGCGAUUAGGUCGGGAACUCAAAGGAGACUGCCAGUGAUAAACUGGAGGAAGGUGGGGAUGACGUCAAGUCAUCAUGGCCCUUACGACCAGGGCUACACACGUGCUACAAUGGCGCAUACAAAGAGAAGCGACCUCGCGAGAGCAAGCGGACCUCAUAAAGUGCGUCGUAGUCCGGAUUGGAGUCUGCAACUCGACUCCAUGAAGUCGGAAUCGCUAGUAAUCGUGGAUCAGAAUGCCACGGUGAAUACGUUCCCGGGCCUUGUACACACCGCCCGUCACACCAUGGGAGUGGGUUGCAAAAGAAGUAGGUAGCUUAACCUUCGGGAGGGCGCUUACCACUUUGUGAUUCAUGACUGGGGUGAAGUCGUAACAAGGUAACCGUAGGGGAACCUGCGGUUGGAUCACCUCCUUACCUUAAAGAA